GACACACUGUGCCUGACUCUUGUGUGGGAGUAUUGGCCUAGCGAAAAUAAAUAUAAGAACAAGGAUUAUGUGUAAAAAGAUUAUGGAGUGGACGCAUUUGGAGAUUAUGGAGCCAUAUUCCCUACCACUGGGAAAGCCGCCACACAGAGAGGAGCAGAGAGGAGAGCCAGAGGGGGAGGGAGGCAGAGAUGCUGACUUCUACCAUCACGGGGUGCCCAGUCCCUGAGGCACUGCUUCCUGCAAUACUUCCCCUUCGGAAAAUAGUGCCAUUUCUCCAAGCACUCUUCAAAGCAUGUGUACACAGAAUGAGUGAAAUCACUGUGAACUUGCAUAACAUCUAUAGAAGAUCGCUAUGAAAUAGGAUAAAAUCAACAAUAAAACAAGGAAGGGAAAGAAGAUUGAAAGAUCCAUUCCAAUCGUGGAUCCGCAUAAGGAAAAUAUCUGCUUAAUGAGUGUCUGACUUGGAAUGAGGUUCCUGCUCCCUCAGCCUCAGCAGGACCGGGCAGAAAUGUUUAAGUAGCUCCACUGAACUCCAGCUGUUAUCUGCUGGUUCCAGUCUAGUAACGUUUACUCUUCUCUUUUUUAACUCAUCUUAUUUUCAAGGCAAAAUCAUUUCAUACUGUGACUUUUUCUGUGUAUCUGCUGAUAUUCUCUGCAAUUUUCUUAUUUAGCAAAAGGAAAAAAGAGAAA
rnacentral:lncRNA from 1 species